rnacentral:rRNA from 1 species
UGUAAGCGUGUACCAAAGUUGUUGCAGUUAAAACGCUCGUAGUCGGAAUUUGGCAGUUCCGGAUGUGUGCACGUCGUGUGCGCACUUCGCGGGGAUUGCUUUUGUGGUCUUGCGUAGGAUGAGGCACUUUUAUUAGUGAACGUCCUCACGCAACCACUUUUUACUGUGAGAAAAUCAGAGUGCUCAAAGCAGGCAUUUGCCGUGAAUGUAUUAGCAUGGAAUAAUAGAAUAGGACUUGGUUCUAUUUUGUUGGUUUGUUGGGACUGAGUAAUGACUAAGAGGGACAGUUGGGGGCAUUUGUAUUUCGGUGCUAGAGGUGAAAUUCUUAGAUUACCGAAAGACAAACUGCUGCGAAAGCGUCUGCCAAGGAUGUUUUCAUUGA